rnacentral:lncRNA from 1 species
AUCGGGUAUCAGAAUUCAUCGAUAUGUAACCCUGAUCAAAAAGUCCCAACCAGUGGGACUCUUGACCCCGGUACCCAUAAUGUGUGGAACUCAUGAUCAGAGAAUCCUGAUUCUCGAUCACUAAGUCCCAAAUAUGUAGGAUUCUACAUCAGCCAUCAGAUCAGAUAGGAACCUCUAAUGUGUGUGAUCCCGCAGGUUCGAACCU